UUGCACGCUGGCGGCAUGCCUUACCCAUGCAAGUCGAACGGUAACAGGUCUUCGGAUGCUGACGAGUGGCGAACGGGUGAGUAAUACAUCGGAACGUGCCCGAUCGUGGGGGAUAACGCAGCGAAAGCUGUGCUAAUACCGCAUACGAUCUACGGAUGAAAGCGGGGGAUCGCAAGACCUCGCGCGGACGGAGCGGCCGAUGGCAGAUUAGGUAGUUGGUGGGAUAAAAGCUUACCAAGCCGACGAUCUGUAGCUGGUCUGAGAGGACGACCAGCCACACUGGGACUGAGACACGGCCCAGACUCCUACGGGAGGCAGCAGUGGGGAAUUUUGGACAAUGGGCGCAAGCCUGAUCCAGCCAUGCCGCGUGCAGGAUGAAGGCCUUCGGGUUGUAAACUGCUUUUGUACGGAACGAAAAAGCUCUCUCUAAUACAGGGGGUGAAUGACGGUACCGUAAGAAUAAGCACCGGCUAACUACGUG
rnacentral:rRNA from 1 species